GGGUCUAAUACCGGAUAGGAGCAUUCACCGCAUGGUGGGUGUUGGAAAGAAUUUCGGUCUUGGAUGGACUCGCGGCCCAUCAGCUUGUUGGUGAGGUAAUGGCUCACCAAGGCGACGACGGGUAGCCGGCCUGAGAGGGUGACCGGCCACACUGGGACUGAGACACGGCCCAGACUCCUACGGGAGGCAGCAGUGGGGAAUAUUGCACAAUGGGCGCAAGCCUGAUGCAGCGACGCCGCGUGAGGGAUGACGGCCUUCGGGUUGUAAACCUCUUUCAGUAGGGAAGAAGCGAAAGUGACGGUACCUGCAGAAGAAGCACCGGCUAACUACGUGCCAGCAGCCGCGGUAAUACGUAGGGUGCGAGCGUUAUCCGGAAUUAUUGGGCGUAAAGAGCUCGUAGGCGGUUUGUCGCGUCUGCCGUGAAAGUCCGGGGCUUAACUCCGGAUCUGCGGUGGGUACGGGCAGACUAGAGUGCAGUAGGGGAGACUGGAAUUCCUGGUGUAGCGGUGGAAUGCGCAGAUAUCAGGAGGAACACCGAUGGCGAAGGCAGGUCUCUGGGCUGUAACUGACGCUGAGGAGCGAAAGCAUGGGGAGCGAACAGGAUUAGAUACCCUGGUAGUCCAUGCCGUAAACGUUGGGCACUAGGUGUGGGGGCCAUUCUCACGGUUUCCGCGCCGCAGCUAACGCAUUAAGUGCCCCGCCUGGGGAGUACGGCCGCAAGGCUAAAACUCAAAGGAAUUGACGGGGGCCCGCACAAGCGGCGGAGCAUGCGGAUUAAUUCGAUGCAACGCGAAGAACCUUACCAAGGCUUGACAUGUUCUCGUUCGCCGUAGAGAUACGGUUUCCCCUUUGGGGCGGGUUCACAGGUGGUGCAUGGUUGUCGUCAGCUCGUGUCGUGAGAUGUUGGGUUAAGUCCCGCAACGAGCGCAACCCCUGUUCUAUGUUGCCAGCACGUGAUGGUGGGGACUCAUGGGAGACUGCCGGGGUCAACUCGGAGGAAGGUGGGGACGACGUCAAAUCAUCAUGCCCCUUAUGUCUUGGGCUUCACGCAUGCUACAAUGGCCGGUACAAUGGGUUGCGAUACUGUGAGGUGGAGCUAAUCCCAAAAAGCCGGUCUCAGUUCGGAUUGGGGUCUGCAACUCGACCCCAUGAAGUUGGAGUCGCUAGUAAUCGCAGAUCAGCAACGCUGCGGUGAAUACGUUCCCGGGCCUUGUACACACCGCCCGUCAAGUCACGAAAGUC
rnacentral:rRNA from 1 species